rnacentral:rRNA from 1 species
UGGGGAAUAUUGCACAAUGGGCGCAAGCCUGAUGCAGCGACGCCGCGUGCGGGAUGACGGCCUUCGGGUUGUAAACCGCUUUUGACUGGGAGCAAGCCCUUCGGGGUGAGUGUACCUUUCGAAUAAGCACCGGCUAACUACGUGCCAGCAGCCGCGGUAAUACGUAGGGUGCAAGCGUUAUCCGGAAUUAUUGGGCGUAAAGGGCUCGUAGGCGGUUCGUCGCGUCCGGUGUGAAAGUCCAUCGCUUAACGGUGGAUCCGCGCCGGGUACGGGCGGGCUUGAGUGCGGUAGGGGAGACUGGAAUUCCCGGUGUAACGGUGGAAUGUGUAGAUAUCGGGAAGAACACCAAUGGCGAAGGCAGGUCUCUGGGCCGUUACUGACGCUGAGGAGCGAAAGCGUGGGGAGCGAACAGGAUUAGAUACCCUGGUAGUCCACGCCGUAAACGGUGGAUGCUGGAUGUGGGGCCCGUUCCACGGGUUCCGUGUCGGAGCUAACGCGUUAAGCAUCCCGCCUGGGGAGUACGGCCGCAAGGCUAAAACUCAAAGAAAUUGACGGGGGCCCGCACAAGCGGCGGAGCAUGCGGAUUAAUUCGAUGCAACGCGAAGAACCUUACCUGGGCUUGACAUGUUCCCGACGGUCGUAGAGAUACGGCUUCCCUUCGGGGCGGGUUCACAGGUGGUGCAUGGUCGUCGUCAGCUCGUGUCGUGAGAUGUUGGGUUAAGUCCCGCAACGAGCGCAACCCUCGCCCCGUGUUGCCAGCGGAUUAUGCCGGGAACUCACGGGGGACCGCCGGGGUUAACUCGGAGGAAGGUGGGGAUGACGUCAGAUCAUCAUGCCCCUUACGUCCAGGGCUUCACGCAUGCUACAAUGGCCGGUACAACGGGAUGCGACACGGCGACGUGGAGCGGAUCCCUGAAAACCGGUCUCAGUUCGGAUUGGAGUCUGCAACCCGACUCCAUGAAGGCGGAGUCGCUAGUAAUCGCGGAUCAGCAACGCCGCGGUGAAUGCGUUCCC